GAUGAAGAACGCAGCGAAAUGCGAUAAGUAAUGCGAAUUGCAGAAUUCAGUGAAUCAUCGAAUCUUUGAACGCACAUUGCGCCCGCCAGUAUUCUGGCGGGCAUGCCUGUCUGAGCGUCGUUUCGACCCUCGCGCCCAGCUUCUGUCGGGGGCGGUGUUGGGGAUCGGCCACACCCUUCAGUGGGAGGCCGGCCCCUAAAUUCAGUGGCGACCACGCUGUAGCCUCCCCUGCGUAGUACUAAAACCACCCCGCAGGCGGAGAGCGGUGCGGCCCGCCGUAAAACCCCCCAACUUUUACAAGGUCGACCUCAGAUCAGGUAGGAAUACCCGCUGAACUUAAGCAUAUCAAUAAGCGGAGGA
rnacentral:misc_RNA from 1 species